GACGAACGCUGGCGGCGUGCUUAACACAUGCAAGUCGAACGAUGAUGCUGGAGCUUGCUCCAGUUGAUUAGUGGCGAACGGGUGAGUAACACGUGAGCAAUCUGCCCUUGACUCUGGGAUAACUGCGGGAAACUGUAGCUAAUACCGGAUACUUUCUCCGGAAGGCAUCUUCUGGUGAUGAAAGAAUUUCGGUCAGGGAUGAGCUCGCGGCCUAUCAGCUUGUUGGUGAGGUAACGGCUCACCAAGGCGACGACGGGUAACCGGCCUGAGAGGGUGACCGGUCACACUGGGACUGAGACACGGCCCAGACUCCUACGGGAGGCAGCAGUGGGGAAUAUUGCACAAUGGGCGCAAGCCUGAUGCAGCAACGCCGCGUGAGGGAUGAAGGCCUUCGGGUUGUAAACCUCUUUUAGCAGGGAAGAAGCGAAAGUGACGGUACCUGCAGAAAAAGCACCGGCUAACUACGUGCCAGCAGCCGCCGCAG
rnacentral:rRNA from 1 species